AUCUUCAGGGCAGGGUGAAAGUCCCUACCGGUGGUAUAGCCCACGAGCCGCAAGGCAUGAUUCGGUGAAAUUCCGAAGCCGACCGUACAGUCGGGAUGGAAGAAGAUU
rnacentral:ncRNA from 1 species